rnacentral:rRNA from 1 species
GACGAACGCUGGCGGCGUGCUUAACACAUGCACGUCGAACGGAAAGGCCCUGCUUUUGUGGGGUGCUCGAGUGGCGAACGGGUGAGUAACACGUGAGUAACCUGCCCUUGACUUUGGGAUAACUUCCGGAAGCUGGGGCUAAUACCGGAUAGGUGCUCCUGCUGCAUGGUGGGGGUUGGAAAGUUUCGGCGGUUGGGGGUGGACUCGCGGCUUAUCAGCUUGUUGGUGGGGUAGUGGCUUACGAAGGCUUUGACGGGUAGUCGGCGUGAGAGGGUGACCGGCCUCAUUGGGACGGCGAUACGGCCCUGCCUGCUACUGGAGGCAGCAGUGGGGAAUAUUGCACAAUGGGCGGAAGCCUGAUGCAGCAACGCCGCGUGCGGGAUGACGUCCUUCGGGUGGUAAACCGCUUUCGCCUGUGACGAAGCGUGAGUGACGGUAAUGGGUAAAGAAGCACCGGCUAACUACGUG